rnacentral:lncRNA from 1 species
UGCAACAUCAAACAUAAGAGGAACGUGAGAUGAUGCAUCCUUUGUUGCAUGCAUUGCACAUAUAUAUAUACAACACAGCUCGUGAUCACCCUUACUCUUUUGUAAAUCUGUUUGAUCUCAUAACCCGUGACUUGAAAAUUCACCUGAACUGCAAUCAACUUUUUAGUCCCUCCUUAAUUAUCCUGUCUCUGUUUUAUCAUGAGACUCGUUUCAACCUGCCCUCUCAUAUUUCCGCGGAUAUCUGGAUUCGACCCACACUCGACCCGAAAAGUGUUUGAACAAAUGCUGGAUUUUUGCUGUCUGAUUCAAUUAUCGGUAAACUGUUGAUUGACAUAUGGAGAAGCGUGUAUGAGUACUUGAUAAAACUGAGUUGGCUACCAAAGAAUGUUGAAUUAGACAACAGUGGAUUUAACUGUUAACCUAUCAAGCCUGGAUACACGAUUCUUGAC